rnacentral:rRNA from 1 species
UACGUAGGGGGCGAACGUUGUCCGGAUUUAUUGGGCGUAAAGCGCACGUAGGCGGCGCAGCAAGUCAGGGGUGAAAUCCCGGGGCUCAACCCCGGAACUGCCCUUGAAACUGCAGUGCUAGAAUCUUGGAGAGGCGAGUGGAAUUCCGAGUGUAGAGGUGAAAUUCGUAGAUAUUCGGAAGAACACCAGUGGCGAAGGCGACUCGCUGGACAAGUAUUGACGCUGAGGUGCGAAAGCGUGGGGAGCAAACAGG